CCUACGGGAGGCAGCAGUGAGGAAUAUUGGUCAAUGGGCGGGAGCCUGAACCAGCCAAGCCGCGUGAGGGAAGAAGGUACAGCGUAUCGUAAACCUCUUUUGUCAGAGAACAAAGGCGGGGACUAGUCCCCGGCUGAGGGUACCUGAAGAAAAAGCAUCGGCUAACUCCGUGCCAGCAGCCGCGGUAAUACGGAGGAUGCGAGCGUUAUCCGGAUUUAUUGGGUUUACAGGGUGCGCAGGCGGCCUGUUAAGUCAGCGGUAAAAGCCCGGGGCUCAACCCCGGCGAGCCGUUGAAACUGGCGGGCUAGAGAUGGAGAGAAGUACGCGGAAUGCGCGGUGUAGCAGUGAAAUGCUUAGAUAUCGCGCAGAACCCCGAUUGCGAAGGCAGCGUACCGGCUCCACACUGACGCUGAGGCACGAAAGCGUGGGUAUCGAACAGGAUUAGAUACCCCUGUAGUC
rnacentral:rRNA from 1 species